GUGGCUGUGGCUCAGUGGUGGAGCACUCGCCUAGCAUGUCAGGGGCACUGGGUUCGAUUCUCAGCCCCAUA
rnacentral:tRNA from 1 species